rnacentral:sRNA from 1 species
ACUUCAUCGAGCGAUCGCGAACGCAUGC